rnacentral:rRNA from 1 species
UACGUAGGGUGCAAGCGUUGUCCGGAAUUAUUGGGCGUAAAGAGCUCGUAGGCGGCCAACUAAGUCGGAUGUGAAAUCCCCAGGCUUAACCUGGGAACUGCAUCCGAUACUGGAUGGCUUGAAUCCGGGAGAGGGAUGCAGAAUUCCAGGUGUAGCGGUGAAAUUCGUAGAUAUUCGCAAGAACACCAGUGGCGAAGGCGGCUCACUGGCCCGGUACUGACGCUGAGGUGCGAAAGCGUGGGGAGCAAACAGG